GGCUGGUUAACUCAGUUGGUUAGAGUGUGGUGCUGGUAACACCAAGGUCAGGGGUUCGAAACCUGUACCAGCCA